rnacentral:rRNA from 1 species
CGGGGGGCAGCAGUAAGGAAUAUUGGUCAAUGGACGAAAGUCUGAACCAGCCAUGCCGCGUGAAGGAUGAAGGCCCUCUGGGUUGUAAACUUCUUUUAUCUGGGACGAAAAAAGCUCUUUCUAGAGCACUUGACGGUACCAGAGGAAUAAGCACCGGCUAACUCCGUGCCAGCAGCCGCGGUAAUACGGAGGGUGCAAGCGUUAUCCGGAUUUACUGGGUUUAAAGGGAGCGUAGGUGGGUUGGUAAGUCAGUGGUGAAAUCUUCGAGCUUAACUCGGAAACUGCCAUUGAUACUAUCAAUCUUGAAUUAUCUGGAGGUAAGCGGAAUAUGUCAUGUAGCGGUGAAAUGCUUAGAUAUGACAUAGAACACCAAUUGCGAAGGCAGCUUACUACGGAUAUAUUGACACUGAGGCUCGAAAGCGUGGGGAUCAAACAGGAUUAGAUACCCGCGU